rnacentral:rRNA from 1 species
AGCGAACGUUUGCGGCGGGCUUAACACAUGCAAGUCGAACGAGAAUCCCUUCGGGGAGGAAAGUGGCGCACGGGUGCGUAACCCGUGGAUAACCAACCCAUUGGUUUGGGACAACACCGGGAAACUGGUGCUAAUACCAGAUGUGUCGCAGCUGUCUUCAGGCGGUUGCGAGGAAGGCCCGCAAGGGUCGCCAACGGACGGGUCCGCGUCCCAUCAGCUAGUUGGUGAGGUAAUGGCUCACCAAGGCAAAGACGGGUAGCUGGUCUGAGAGGAUGAUCAGCCACACUGGAACUGAGACACGGUCCAGACUCCUACGGGAGGCAGCAGUGGGGAAUAUUGCGCAAUGGGCGAAAGCCUGACGCAGCCACGCCGCGUGAGCGAUGAAGGUCUUCGGAUCGUAAAGCUCUGUGGGGGGAGAAGAAGAAAGCCGGUGAAGAGCCGGCCCUGACGGUAUCCCCUUAGCAAGCACCGGCUAACUCCGUGCGAGCAGCCGCGGU